rnacentral:rRNA from 1 species
UACGUAGGUGGCAAGCGUUACUCGGAAUCACUAGGCGUAAAGCGCAGGUAGGCGGUUUGAUAAGUCUGUUGUGAAAGCUCCCGGCUUAACUGGGAGAGGUCAACGGAAACUAUCAGGCUAGAGUGUGGUAGAGGUAGCUGGAAUUCCCGGUGUAGCGGUGAAAUGCGUAGAUAUCGGGAGGAAUACCUAUGGCGACAGCAGGCUACUGGACCAUCACUGACGCUGAUCUGCGAAAGCUAGGGGAGCAAACAGG